rnacentral:rRNA from 1 species
AGAGUUUGAUCCUGGCUCAGAAUGAACGUUGGCGGCGUGGAUUAGGCAUGCAAGUCGAACGAGCCUCUGGGGGGUAACUCCUAGAGGAAAGUGGCGAAAGGGGCAGUAAUGUAUGGGUAACCUACCUUGAGGUCUGGGAUAGCUAUUCUAACGGAUAGGUAAUACCGGACGGCCUGAGUUGUCGGCAUCGAUGAUUUAGUAAAGGUUACGCCUCGAGAGGGGCCCAUAUGAUAUUAGCUAGUUGGUGAGGUAAUGGCUCACCAAGGCAAAGAUGUCUAGCGGGUGUGAGAGCACGACCCGCGUCACUGGCACUGAGACACUGGCCAGACUCCUACGGGAGGCUGCAGUCGAGGAUCUUCGGCAAUGGACGCAAGUCUGACCGAGCAACGCCGCGUGUGCGAUGAAGGCCUUCGGGUUGUAAAGCACUGUCGAGGGGAAACAAGCCGUAAGGUUGAGUGACCCCUGGAGGAAGCACGGGCUAAGUUCGUGCCAGCAGCCGCGGUAAGACGAACCGUGCAAACGUUAUUCGGAAUCACUGGGCUUAAAGGGCGCGUAGGCGGGUAAUCAAGUCAAUGGUGAAAGCCUCCAGCUUAACUGGAGAAGUGCCUUUGGUACUGAUUGUCUAGAGUGAGGUAGGGGCAUGUGGAACUUCCGGUGGAGCGGUGAAAUGCGUAGAUAUCGGAAGGAACGCCAGUGGCGAAAGCGAUGUGCUGGACCUUUUCUGACGCUGAGGCGCGAAAGCUAGGGGAUCAAACGGGAUUAGAUACCCUGGUAGUCC